ACUCGCGGCCUUAUCAGGUAGUUGGUGAGGUAAAGGCUCCACCAAGCCUUACGACGGGUAGCCGGCCUGAGAGGGUGACCGGCCCACACUGGGGACUGAGACACGGCCCCAGACUCYUACGGGARGCAGCAGUGGGGAAUAUUGCACAAUGGGCGCAAGCCUGAUGCAGCAACGCCGCGUGAGGGAUGACGGCCUUCGGGUUGUAAACCUCUUUUAGUAGGGAAGAAGCGAAAGUGACGGUACCUGCAGAAAAAGCACCGGCUAACUACGUGCCAGCAGCCGCGGUAAUACGUAGGGUGCGAGCGUUGUCCGGAAUUAUUGGGCGUAAAGAGCUCGUAGGCGGUCUGUCGCGUCUGCUGUGAAAACCCGAGGCUCAACCUCGGGCCUGCAGUGGGUACGGGCAGACUAGAGUGCGGUAGGGGAGAAUGGAAUUCCUGGUGUAGCGGUGGAAUGCGCAGAUAUCAGGAGGAACACCGAUGGCGAAGGCAGUUCUCUGGGCCGUAACUGACGCUGAGGAGCGAAAGCGUGGGGAGCGAACAGGAUUAGAUACCCUGGUAGUCCACGCCGUAAACGUUGGGCGCUAGAUGUGGGGACCAUUCCACGGUUUCCGUGUCGCAGCUAACGCAUUAAGCGCCCCGCCUGGGGAGUACGGCCGCAAGGCUAAAACUCAAAGGAAUUGACGGGGGCCCGCACAAGCGGCGGAGCAUGCGGAUUAAUUCGAUGCAACGCGAAGAACCUUACCAAGGCUUGACAUAUACGAGAACGGGCUAGAAAUAGUCAACUCUUUGGACACUCGUAAACAGGUGGKGCAUGGUUGUCGUCAGCUCSUGUCSUGAGAUGUUUGGGUUAARUCCCSCAACGAGCGCAACCCUCSUUCUAUGUUGCCASCMCGUAAUGGUGGGGAACU
rnacentral:rRNA from 1 species